CUAGACUUGUACUCGGGCUACAGACAGCAUGCUAAACGACUUCCAGGACAGGCCCAGAGCCAAGAGAAGAGCUGGUUUAUUUUGUCACCUCACUGAAACAGAGUGGAUGAAUUCACAUAAAAUACUCUGCUUUUAUGGAGGUAUCAAAUCUCCCAGUGCUUAAGGAUAGUUUUUGAGAGGACAUUACUUCUCAGUGCAAAUUUCUGCCAGUGAGUGGAUGUUAUUUCUUGAUGAAACUAAAGGGAGUGAAAAUAAAUGGGGAUGGGGGUGGGGGGAUGGGGUUGCGUGAAAUAGAUUAUUACAAUUCACUUUCUUUCGCACACACUGAAAAAUAACCCAAUUAUUUUCCAAGGUUACUACAGGCAUUCGGUCUUAUUUUAAUCACAGGCCCAGAGUGAAGGCUGAGCAGCAGCAGCAGCAGCAGCACAGAGAUAUGCUAUCAGACUGAGAAGGGCAGGAGUUAAAUUAUUCAAUAUCCCCUUAUAAUGAAAGGCAAAUCUUGAUUUUCGAUUGUCAGGGAUGUUCACACUUUGCAUCAAAUAUGCAUGAUUUUGUUUUCUUGUAUAUCUAAGACAUUCUUAUAAUUGGCUUUGUCCUCUUUAAAAUGUGGUUUCUCUUUAUCAAAUUAGGAUUUAAUUAACGACUGAGAGGACCAAGACACAGAAAAGGAAUCAGAUACAGUUUUCACACCAAGUAAGGGGGCUUAAAUCUGGACUAAAUACAAGAAGGACCCGAAUGCAGACCUCCUACCAAAAAGAAGGACUUUAAUCUGGACUACAUACAAAAUAGUAGUACCUGUAUGCAGACUUAAUACGGUGAAGAAGAUCCUCAUGCAGACCUCAUGUUAUGAAGGUAGAUUCAUACUGUAUCUGGACUAAACACAAAGAAGAACCCCAAUACAGACCUUGUAUUAAAACAGGACUGAAAACAGAAAAGGGCAGACAGACUCAAGACAGGAAGAAGACCAAGAUGCAAACAUACUAUUUAUAUCUGAACUAAAUAUAAAAACAGUACCAGGUACAGCUUAAUUUAGAAAAGUGGACCCAGAUGCAGUUUUCAUAUCAUAAAGAAAGACUUAGAUAUCUGAACUACAUACAAAAACAGUACCAGUUGCAGUUUGAUGAGGGAAAGGGGACCCAGAUGCAAACUUUUAUACAAGAGACAAGAAAACGGCAAAAUAAAUCAAGAAAUGUUUCCUAAACAACUGAAAUAAAUGAAACAUCUCCUCAAAUAAAACAGGACAACUUUACUGCUACCAUAUGAACAUUUUAAAGAAUGGUACUUAAAUAUGAAGGUCAUGUUAUUCUAGAGUGAUGUAAAACUGGAGUUUCCUAACAUAAAAAUACUGAUUCCCUAUCCUGUACUUGUAGGGAUUUCCCAAGACCUGCUCUUUUGGAAAGCGUCUUCAGAUAGGGCGCUUUAUGAAUAAAAAUUCAUUAAAAAUGUGUGCAACGCAACAUUUUGGCACCCCCCAACAAUCACUCUUCAAGUCAACUGUUUGGGUAUUUGCCAUGUCCUUUUCAGGCAGCUAGUAAAGUGAGUGAGUAAGUUAAGUUUAUUUACAUAGCACCUCUCAAGAACAGGGGUCACAAAGUGCUUCACAAUGAAAGAUUAAAAAGGCAAGUGACUUGUCAGCCGUAAGACGCCAUGUUUGAGAAUGUGCCCUACUCUAGCUUCACUUAGAGUUCAAACAGAGCCUUAAUUCACAAAGUGCCUGAAAUGAAGAGGACUAGAAACUAGUUACUAACACUGAGAAAAUGUUUGUCGAGGCUGCGUCAUUUCUUUUUGACUUUUUUCCAAUCAGACAUUUUUGUAAUACUCAGGCAGCAAGAUUUCAGCACCAUGGACAGAGAUCAACAGAG